rnacentral:rRNA from 1 species
AUUGAACGCUGGCGGCAUGCUUUACACAUGCAAGUCGAACGGUAACAGGCCUUCGGGUGCUGACGAGUGGCGAACGGGUGAGUAAUGCAUCGGAACGUACCCAGAGGUGGGGGAUAACGCAGCGAAAGCUGUGCUAAUACCGCAUGUGAUCUGAGGAUGAAAGCGGGGGACCGAGCAGCAAUGUUUGGCCUCGCGCCUUUGGAGCGGCCGAUGUCGGAUUAGCUAGUUGGUGGGGUAAAGGCCUACCAAGGCGACGAUCCGUAGCUGGUCUGAGAGGACGACCAGCCACACUGGGACUGAGACACGGCCCAGACUCCUACGGGAGGCAGCAGUGGGGAAUUUUGGACAAUGGGCGCAAGCCUGAUCCAGCAAUGCCGCGUGCGGGAAGAAGGCCUUCGGGUUGUAAACCGCUUUUGGCAGGAACGAAACGGUGUGCGCUAAUACCGGGCGCUAAUGACGGUACCUGCAGAAUAAGCACCGGCUAACUACGUG